GAUGAACGCUGGCGGCGUGCCUAAUACAUGCAAGUCGAGCGAACAGACGAGGAGCUUGCUCCUCUGGCGUUAGCGGCGGACGGGUGAGUAACACGUGGAUAACCUACCUAUAAGACUGGGAUAACUUCGGGAAACCGGAGCUAAUACCGGAUAAUAUAUUGAACCGCAUGGUUCAAUAGUGAAAGACGGUUUUGCUGUCACUUAUAGAUGGAUCCGCGCCGCAUUAGCUAGUUGGUAAGGUAACGGCUUACCAAGGUAACGAUGCGUAGCCGACCUGAGAGGGUGAUCGGCCACACUGGAACUGAGACACGGUCCAGACUCCUACGGGAGGCAGCAGUAGGGAAUCUUCCGCAAUGGGCGAAAGCCUGACGGAGCAACGCCGCGUGAGUGAUGAAGGUCUUCGGAUCGUAAAACUCUGUUAUUAGGGAAGAACAAAUGUGUAAGUAACUAUGCACGUCUUGACGGUACCUAAUCAGAAAGCCACGGCUAACUACGUG
rnacentral:rRNA from 1 species